AAAAAAAAGUAUCCAAAACAUGAAAACGAUGCAAAAAGUCGGCUGUCUAAUGAGUUCAUUCAAUUAUUUAACUUAAUGAUAACAAAACAUUAAUUAUCCAGGGGAUGUACCUUUGUUUGAUUUGCUAUUUGCUAUUAUUAAGGCUCAAGCUCUGUGAAGUUGCAAAUUAACUUGUAAACUUCUGAGUUGUGGAUAUGCAUGAUGCUGCUUGGGUUCUCCAUGAUCCUGACUGAAAUGGAGAUGCACCUACAUGAGUCUCUUUAGAGGGUACUCUUGGGGUCACCAUGUGUGUAAAGGAAGAGAAAGAAGAAGAAUUGGACAGAAGAAGUUGAGCUCAGAUGCUGGGCAACAUGUAGGAAUUUGUGAGUAGCUCCGCGUGGCCCUUGUGGCUUGGGGAUCUCCCAUGAGGUUGCCGACAGAGGUCAGCCAGGACUACCGCCAUCGGAAGCCUUGGCUGGGGCUGGAGGAUCCAUGUGAACAGUCUAGAGAGCAGUCACAACACAGCUGCUGGUGCGAGGCUGCAAUUCCUCUCCAUACCAUCAUCAUCUCCUCAGAGCUCUUUGAGUGUACUUAUAGCAUGGCCGCUGACUUCCUCCAGAGCAGGUGAUCCAAGCCAUCAGUGUGGAAUUUACAAGACCUUUCACAAUCUAGUUUCAUAAAUCACACACCACCUCUUCCACCAUAUUCUGUUGGAUGCAUGUGCAGACCAGCUCUGAUUUCAUGUUAGGAAGAGACUGCAAAAGGGCAUGAAUGGCAGAGGGCAAGGACACCUGCGGGCAGGUGGCAUCUUGGAAGCUACCGAGACUACCACAACCAGCUCAUAAUUUAUCUAUUGUUUUUCUAAUGUCUGUCCUUUUUCCCCCAUCAACUCCUGUUGUCACUUCCAUUUCUGCCAGUUUGGUAGCCUUGGUCCAUUAGCUCUUACGGCUCUUUUACUUCCUGAUUUAGGGUUCAUCUCCUCCUUCCUCUGAGAGUUAAAAAUAAAUUAUACACUUGGUAAUCAUAAAAUGGAGAUUUCACACCCACCUCCAUACAACUGUUGUGUAAUAAAUGUGCAUAACUUGCCUCCUGCAGCACCUGGCUCAAAUUAGGUGUACAAUAAAUGUUAAUGGCUCUGA